GACGAACGCUGGCGGCGUGCUUAACACAUGCAAGUCGAACGGUGAAGCGCCUUCCUUUUUGGUGGGUGUGGAUGAGUGGCGAACGGGUGAGUAACACGUGAGUAACCUGCCCCCUUCUUCUGGAUAACCGCAUGAAAGUGUGGCUAAUACGGGAUAUUCUGGGUCUGUCGCAUGAUGGGUCUGGGAAAGAUAUUGUUUCGGUGGGGGAUGGGCUCGCGGCCUAUCAGCUUGUUGGUGGGGUGAUGGCCUACCAAGGCGGUGACGGGUAGCCGGCCUGAGAGGGUGGACGGGCACACGGGGACUGAGACACGGCCCAGACUCCUACGGGAGGCAGCAGUGGGGAAUAUUGCACAAUGGGCGCAAGCCUGAUGCAGCGACGCCGCGUGAGGGGUGGAGGCCUUCGGGUUGUGAACCUCUUUCGCCAGUGAAGCAGGCCUGCCUCGUUUGUGGGUGGGUUGACGGUAGCUGGAGAAGAAGCGCCGGCUAACUACGUG
rnacentral:rRNA from 1 species